GACGAACGCUGGCGGCGUGCUUAACACAUGCAAGUCGAACGGAAAGGCCCUGCUUUUGUGGGGUGCUCGAGUGGCGAACGGGUGAGUAACACGUGAGUAACCUGCCCUUGACUUUGGGAUAACUUCAGGAAACUGGGGCUAAUACCGGAUAGGAGCUCCUGCUGCAUGGUGGGGGUUGGAAAGUUUCGGCGGUUGGGGAUGGACUCGCGGCUUAUCAGCUUGUUGGUGGGGUAGUGGCUUACCAAGGCUUUGACGGGUAGCCGGCCUGAGAGGGUGACCGGCCACAAUGGGACUGAGGUACGGACCAGACUCCUACGGGAGGCAGCAGGGGGGAAUAUUGCACAAUGGGCGGAAGCCUGAUGCAGCAGCGCCGCGUGCGGGAUAACGGCCUUUGGGUUGUAAACCGCUUUCGCCUGUGACGAAGCGUGAGUGACGGUAAUGGGUAAAGAAGCACCGGCUAACUACGUG
rnacentral:rRNA from 1 species